rnacentral:rRNA from 1 species
CUACGGGUCGCUGCAGUGGGAAAUAUUGCACAAUGGGCGCAAGCCUGAUGCAGCCAUGCCGCGUGUAUGAAGAAGGCCUUCGGGUUGUAAAGUACUUUCAGCGGGGAGGAAGGGAGUAAAGUUAAUACCUUUGCUCAUUGACGUUACCCGCAGAAGAAGCACCGGCUAACUCCGUGCCAGCAGACGCGGUAAUACGGAGGGUGCAAGCGUUAAUCGGAAUUACUGGGCGUAAAGCGCACGCAGGCGGUUUGUUAAGUCAGAUGUGAAAUCCCCGGGCUCAACCUGGGAACUGCAUCUGAUACUGGCAAGCUUGAGUCUCGUAGAGGGGGGUAGAAUUCCAGGUGUAGCGGUGAAAUGCGUAGAGAUCUGGAGGAAUACCGGUGGCGAAGGCGGCCCCCUGGACGAAGACUGACGCUCAGGUGCGAAAGCGUGGGGAGCAAACAGGAUUAGAUACCCGUGUAGUC